rnacentral:rRNA from 1 species
UACGAAGGGGGCUAGCGUUGCUCGGAAUCACUGGGCGUAAAGGGCGCGUAGGCGGCGUUUUAAGUCGGGGGUGAAAGCCUGUGGCUCAACCACGGAAUGGCCUUCGAUACUGGGACGCUUGAGUAUGGUAGAGGUUGGUGGAACUGCGAGUGUAGAGGUGAAAUUCGUAGAUAUCGGGAGGAACACCAGUGGCGAAGGCGGCGAUCUGGGAAGAUACUGACGCUGAGGUGCGAAAGCGUGGGGAGCAAACAGG